CUGUACAUACAUACACACAUAUAUGAUAUAUGCAUAUAUAUGUAUAAUAAAAUAUAGAAAUGGGAGGAGUAUCUCGGACAUUGAUUGGACGUGCUUCGAUUCACUUUAGGUUAGGUCCACAUCGUCAUCAUUGAUUUGAAAUUAUAAUAUGAUAUAUAUUCAGCGAUGUAAAAAUAUUUAUAACAAAAAUACUUAUAUCAGUAUCUGGAGAAAAUAAAUACAACUUUUUAGAUAUUUCAGUGUUUGCAAGUCACGUACUGCUGGAAGGCAAAAAAUUUUUUGCAAAUUUUUGUAAGUUCUUGGACCAGUUAAAAAUAAUGAUAAGCAUUGCUUUUUGAAUUCGACUAAGGUUUCAAAAGUAUCCGACAUACUGUUCAGUGGUGAUGGUGAUGUAAUAAUGUCUUGUCCAUCUAAAAUAGUCUGUGGUAUUCUUUCAACUCUUACACCCUUAUCUGGAAUCAAAAAAGGCAAAUCACCUGUUUCCAAAGAAGAUGAAUCAGUAUUAGAUGUAUUGUUAAAAGGCAAUAAAUUUAUUAAAUCUUGAUAA